rnacentral:tRNA from 1 species
ACUGAUGUGGCAGAUUAUUGCAUAGAGUUUAAGUCUCUACAAAGUUUUAACCUUCAGUA